AUGAACGCUGGCGGCGUGCCUGAUACAUGCAAGUCGAGCGAACAGACGAGGAGCUUGCUCCUCUGACGUUAGCGGCGGACGGGUGAGUAACACGUGGAUAACCUACCUAUAAGACUGGGAUAACUUCGGGAAACCGGAGCUAAUACCGGAUAAUAUAUUGAACCGCAUGGUUCAAUAGUGAAAGACGGUUUUGCUGUCACUUAUAGAUGGAUCCGCGCCGCAUUAGCUAGUUGGUAAGGUAACGGCUUACCAAGGCGACGAUGCGUAGCCGACCUGAGAGGGUGAUCGGCCACACUGGAACUGAGACACGGUCCAGACUCCUACGGGAGGCAGCAGUAGGGAAUCUUCCGCAAUGGGCGAAAGCCUGACGGAGCAACGCCGCGUGAGUGAUGAAGGUCUUCGGAUCGUAAAACUCUGUUAUUAGGGAAGAACAAAUGUGUAAGUAACUAUGCACGUCUUGACGGUACCUAAUCAGAAAGCCACGGCUACUACGUG
rnacentral:rRNA from 1 species